GGCCCCAUCGUCUAGCCUGGCCUAGGACAUCAGAUUCUCAUUCUGAAGACCGGGGUUCAAAUCCCCAUGGGGCUACCA
rnacentral:tRNA from 1 species